rnacentral:misc_RNA from 1 species
UGCUUGGAAGAACCAAAAUUUAUCGUCUUUUCUCCGAACAAGCCUGUGUAGUUCAGCGAAGACCUUCGCCAUGGGCUCGAGUCCUUUAACUCGGCAUAAUCCUCUGAAGGCCACCAGAGUUCGCCAGGAGUUCGGAUGCACUUGAGCUACUGAGACAUGGUGAAAUUUUAGGACAGCCUUGUAAAAUCCAUCCAAAGAAAAAUGGAGCCUGGACUUUAGCUACUCCUCGUACACUAUGAUAAGAUCGCCUUCUUCAAAGAAGUGAUCGGCCCGAAGAUCGCCAUGGCAUCUGAUCAGUUCAAAAGAGUCAAUCUGCAGAUUGUAUUCCUGACUUAUGGAUUGGAGAUCG